rnacentral:rRNA from 1 species
UACGGGGGGAGCAAGCGUUGUUCGGAUUUACUGGGCGUAAAGGGCGCGUAGGCGGUAGCACAAGUCAGUUGUGAAAUCUCCGGGCUUAACUCGGAAAGGUCAACUGAUACUGUGCGACUAGAGUGCAGAAGGGGCAACUGGAAUUCUCGGUGUAGCGGUGAAAUGCGUAGAUAUCGGGAGGAACACCAGUGGCGAAGGCGACUACCUGGCCUGUUCUUGACGCUGAGGCGCGAAAGCUAGGGGAGCAAACGGG